rnacentral:lncRNA from 1 species
AGAAAAAACUCGUGUGAUUCCACACCUCAAUAAAGAAAUUCUUUCUAGUAGCAACAAUUUAUUCCCCGGCGGCCACCAAUUUUUUUUCUCUUUCAACCAGUUCUUUCUCUCUCUAUUUCUACUCAACAGCCACAAUUUUUCCAAACUUCUAGCCGCCGUUGUUGACCAUUAGAUUUGUCUCACACAAAACAGCCGACAAAGAGAGGGAUGUAUUUAUAUAUAUAGCCACCAUUUUUGACCUAAUUAAACAGUAUAAAACUUGGGCCAAGUAAUUCUUAUAAUAGGCUUAGUGGGCUGGACCAUUAUAACACUUGUAUCAUCAUCUAGUGUGCUUGAUUGAUGUUAAUGAAAUUUUGUUCUCACAGCUAGGACCGUAUGCUUACCUCUGCUUAGAUAUAUUUUUUACUCUAGUUAAAAGUCAGGCAUUUCUUAAUACGUUAAUUCAAAGGCUUUGCUCGUAUUUUCCUUAAUUAACUUGUUGUAUUGUUAAUGGUGGCUAUCUGGUUUUACAGGUUUCAAAUAGCAAUGGUCUGUCACUUUCUGGACAUUCCAGAAAUCUAGUUACUUUAGAUUUGUCUUGGUGCUGCAAUUUGGCUAAUGAAGCUUUUGGAUCGAUCGUGGAUAGUUGCUCAUCAUUUGAAGUGCUCAAAUUGUUUGGAUGUACUCAGGUAUCUGGUAAAUGAUUGGCAAAUUAUGUCAAGCGGUAACAUUUCUAUUUGACCAAUGAGUCAAUUUUUGUCCAUUCAAAUUUGAUGUACAAGCUGUUUUCAUCUUUUCCUUUUCUUUGCAUCACUGCUACUGCGUUGCAAAUUACUUGUUGGCUGGAGCAUAUCUGGUAUUAGUACGUAGAAUCCGUCCUUUAAUUACUGUAUGAUUUGCCAUCGUGGUUUUCCCUUCCACAAUAAAUAAUGUUUGACAGUGGCACUAAUUGGAAGUUCUUUUGUGCGGCAGAGAAGGAAUAUCUAAUGAAUUAUGCUGUUUUGCUAGAGGAAUUUAACACCUUGGUUUACAGAUGAAGUUGUGAUAAAAAUGAAUGGAUGGCAGCGUUGGCUCUGGCAAUGUUGCAAGAUUGUUAUGUAUCUUUAAUUGAUGCUCUGGUCAUGGAAUUUUCUUUCCUAAGAAUUCGAUGAUGACGACGACUGCAUAUUUUUCUUAUGGUUCUGGUUUCUACUUUAUGAUCUUUUUGUAUGACACAUUGCUUGCUACUGUACUUUAUCAAGAUUCAGGUUCUUACCAAAUUUAGUUAUUUAUAAACUCUGCGCAUCGUACUUCUCUCAAAAAAUUCCUCUAUUUAGCUUUCUUAAUUUGCAAUUUCCCAAAAUUUUUCUUGAAGGAGUGAGGUAUGAUAUGGUGAAAUUGCAGCUCACAAAUGUAUUUCAUGAUGGCCACUCUAACCCACAAGUAAAAAUCAUUGGAUUGAAGAUGAGUCAAGUAUUCGAACAUAUCCAGCAGCCAACUUUCCUGUAAGACUGCAGUAAUAGAGACGCUCAUUCGCUUUUGGGGCCAACUUUUCCACCUCCCUUGUCCGUGCACAUCAUAUAUAUCUAUAUGUUUUCACUGGACAUUGAGAAAUUUCUUGAUACAUCAGAAUUUAUAGCAUGACAUGCAUCUAUUUUUGUCUAGUUUCUUUGCAUUUUCUGCAUUGAAGUCAAAACGGAAGACAUUAUGCUUAUGCCAUUGCGGCUCUUAUUUUGCUGGCUGUUUCUAUUGUUUGCUAAAUAUGUCUAGCUGUAGUAUGCACAGAACCUUACUGUCGAAAUUGCAUUUAGAUUAAAAUAAAUAAAUAAAUAAAGUCGUCUUUGGAGAACCUUAGUUCUUCCUCUUAUCA